AGAGUUUGAUCAUGGCUCAGAUUGAACGCUGGCGGUAAGCCUUAAACAUGCAAGUCGUGCGGUAACAGACAUAAAGAUUUAGCUUGCUAAAUCCGGUGCUGACGAGCGGCGAACGGGUGAGUAACACGUAGGAAUCUACCCAGUAGCGGGGGAUAGCCCAGGGAAACUUGGAUUAAUACCGCAUACACCCUAAGGGGAAAAGAAGGCCUCUCUUUGAAGCUUUCACUAUUGGAUGAGCCUGCGUAAGAUUAGCUUGUUGGUGGGGUAAAGGCCUACCAAGGCAACGAUCUUUAGCUGGUCUGAGAGGACGAUCAGCCACAUUGGGACUGAGACACGGCCCAGACUUCUACGGAAGGCAGCAGUUAGGAAUAUUGGGCAAUGGGGGCAACCCUGAUCCAGCUAUACCGCGUGUGUGAAGAAGGCCUUAGGGUUGUAAAGCACUUUAAGCAGGGAAGAAGCAAAUUAAGUUAAUACCUUAAUAUGUUGACGUUACCUGAAGAAUAAGGACCGGCUAACUCCGUGCCAGCAGCCGCGGUAAUACGGAGGGUCCAAGCGUUAAUCGGAAUUACUGGGCGUAAAGCGCGCGUAGGCGGUUUAAUAAGUUGUAUGUGAAAGCCCUGGGCUCAACCUAGGAACUGCAUACAAAACUAUUAAGCUUGAGGACGAGAGAGGAGAGUAGAAUUUCAGGUGUAGCGGUGAAAUGCGUAGAUAUCUGAAGGAAUACCAAUGGCGAAGGCAGCUCUCUGGCUCGUUUCUGACGCUAAGGUGCGAAAGCGUGGGUAGCAAACAGGAUUAGAUACCCUGGUAGUCCACGCCGUAAACGAUGAUAACUAGCCGUUGGGCAGAUUUAACUGUUCAGUGGCACAGCUAACGCAUUAAGUUAUCCGCCUGGGGAGUACGGCCGCAAGGCUAAAACUCAAAUGAAUUGACGGGGGCCCGCACAAGUGGUGGAGCAUGUGGUUUAAUUCGAUGCAACGCGAAGAACCUUACCAACCUUUGAAAUCCAGAGAAGUCACCAGAGAUGGAGAUGUGCCUUCGGGAACUCUGUGACAGGUGUUGCAUGGCUGUCGUCAGCUCGUGUCGUGAGAUGUAUGGUUAAGUCCAGUAACGAGCGCAACCCCUAUCUUUAUUUGCCAGCGCGUAAUGGCGGGAACUAUAGAGAGAC
rnacentral:rRNA from 1 species